UACGAAGGGGGCUAGUGUUGCUCGGAAUCACUGGGCGUAAAGGGUGCGUAGGCGGGUCUUUAAGUCAGGGGUGAAAUCCUGGAGCUCAACUCCAGAACUGCCUUUGAUACUGAGGAUCUUGAGUUCGGGAGAGGUGAGUGGAACUGCGAGUGUAGAGGUGAAAUUCGUAGAUAUUCGCAAGAACACCAGUGGCGAAGGCGGCUCACUGGCCCGAUACUGACGCUGAGGUGCGAAAGCGUGGGGAGCAAACAGG
rnacentral:rRNA from 1 species